UCUGUUAAGGUUGAUUUGACGUAGUUGC
rnacentral:sRNA from 1 species